UGGUGGAGUGAUUUGUCUGGUUAAUUCCGUUAACGAACGAGACCUCGACCUGCUAAAUAGUUCGAUUCAGACUUCGGUCUGAAUACAUUUACGUGACUUCUUAGAGGGACUAUCGGUGUGUAGCCGAUGGAAGUGCGAGGCAAUAACA
rnacentral:rRNA from 1 species